rnacentral:rRNA from 1 species
UACGUAGGGGGCAAGCGUUGUCCGGAAUUAUUGGGCGUAAAGCGCGUGUAGGCGGCUCGGUAAGUCUGCUGUGAAAGUCCAGGCUCAACCCUGGAACGCCGGUGGAUACUGUCGAGCUCGAGUCCGGAAGAGGCGAGUGGAAUUCCUGGUGUAGCGGUGAAAUGCGCAGAGUAUCAGGAGGAACACCAAUGGCGAAGGCAGCUCGCUGGGACGGUACUGACGCUGAGACGCGAAAGCGUGGGGAGCAAACAGG